rnacentral:rRNA from 1 species
GGAGUUUGGACCGUGUCUCAGUUCCAAUGUGGGGGACCUUCCUCUCAGAACCCCUACUGAUCGAUGGCUCGGUGGGCCGUUACCCCGCCGACUACCUAAUCAGACGCAUCCCCAUCCCCUAGCGGUAAACCUUUGGUAUUCGUCAGAUGUCCUCAAAAUACAACAUAGGGUAUUAAUCCGAUUUUCACCGGGCUAUGCCCUACUGGGGGGAAGGUUGGAUACGCGUUACUCACCCGUGCGCCGGUCGCCGGCGGAAGUAUUGCUACCUCCCCGCUGCCCCUCGACUUGCAUGUGUUAAGCCUGUCGCUAGCGUUCAUC